rnacentral:rRNA from 1 species
CAGCAGCCACGGGAAUAUAGAGGGUGCAAGCGUUAAUCGGAAUUACUGGGCGUAAAGCGCGCGUAGGUGGUUUGUUAAGUUGGAUGUGAAAGCCCCGGGCUCAACCUGGGAACUGCAUCCAAAACUGGCAAGCUAGAGUACGGUAGAGGGUGGUGGAAUUUCCUGUGUAGCGGUGAAAUGCGUAGAUAUAGGAAGGAACACCAGUGGCGAAGGCGACCACCUGGACUGAUACUGACACUGAGGUGCGAAAGCGUGGGGAGCAAACAGGAUUAGAUACCCCUGUAGUCCCUGUCUCUUAUAC